ensembl:snRNA U6 U6 spliceosomal RNA
UUGCUACAGCAUCACAUAAAUUAAAAUUGGAACAAUACACAGAAGAUUAGCAUGGCCUCUGUGCAAGGAUGACAUGCAAUUUCCUGAUAUAUCCCGUAUAUAA